rnacentral:lncRNA from 1 species
CAAAUGGCAAGCUCCCUCUUCACUUCCUCUGUCUCCUUCCAGCCAACACUGGAGUUGCAGGACCAGUUUCUGCAGCCAUUAUCAACAGAAGCCAGUAGCAAGGUCACCAACUCCAAUGCCCUUGGGGACCAGGCAGGAUACCAGUGACUUCAAGAGGAAGGGUCAAGCUACAGAGCUAUGAACAGGAGCCGUGCUUUAUUUAGUGUCUACCAUGAAAUGCGGGGACCUCAUGGGUGCCCUAUUAGGACUUCCUCAAACUUUUCUGCUUCUUAGGGGGUUGGUCAGUGUGUGGUUAAGACACCCACACAUCCCGUCUGGCUUCAGAUCCCAGCCACCUCACAUUAGUGUGUCCAGUUCACGUGCACACGGAAUGAAAAGGCCAGCCACAAGCCUUCAGAAAUGUCCUCAGUGCUGGCACCCAGACACCACAAGUAUUUGUUGUGUGCUUUGGGUCACGUUUGUAUCAUAAUCCAGGCUUAGGAAAGAGGGCAUUUUCCAAAACUCUUACAAAGCAGCUGCGACCAAAUAAAAAUUGC